GAUGAACGCUAGCGGGAGGCUUAAUACAUGCAAGUCGCGGGGUAACGAUGGACUUCGGUUCAGGCGACGACCGGCGCACGGGUGAGUAACGCGUACACGACCUACCUUACACUGAGGGAUAGCCCUGGGAAACUGGGAUUAAUACCUCAUGGCAUUAGAUUAUUGCGAUGAUCUAAUUAAAGGUUUCGACUGGUGUAAGAUGGGUGUGCGUUAGAUUAGCUAGUUGGUAAGGUAACGGCUUACCAAGGCGACGAUCUAUAGGGGGCGUGAGAGCGUGGACCCCCACACGGGUACUGAGACACGGACCCGACUCCUACGGGAGGCAGCAGUAAGGAAUAUUGGACAAUGGGGGCAACCCUGAUCCAGCCAUCCCGCGUGCAGGAAGACGGCCCUAUGGGUUGUAAACUGCUUUUAGAAGGGAAGAAAAUUACUCAUUUAUGAGUAACUGACGGUACCUUCAGAAUAAGCACCGGCUAACUCCG
rnacentral:rRNA from 1 species